rnacentral:tRNA from 1 species
AAAGCAGUAGCGAAAUGGUGAACGCGCCGGUCAUAAAGUUUUAACAUUACCUUCCAGGUCAAUUAAAACUUAUUUCUAACCAGGGGGCCGGAAAUGUUGGUUCGAAUCCAACCUGCUUUG